rnacentral:rRNA from 1 species
UCCUACGGGAGGCAGCAGUGGGGAAUAUUGGACAAUGGGGGGAACCCUGAUCCAGCCAUGCCGCGUGUGUGAAGAAGGCCCUCGGGUUGUAAAGCACUUUCAGCGAGGAAGAACGCCUAGCGGUUAAUACCCGCUAGGAAAGACAUCACUCGCAGAAGAAGCACCGGCUAACUCCGUGCCAGCAGCCGCGGUAAUACGGAGGGUGCAAGCGUUAAUCGGAAUUACUGGGCGUAAAGCGCGCGUAGGUGGCUUGAUAAGCCGGUUGUGAAAGCCCCGGGCUCAACCUGGGAACGGCAUCCGGAACUGUCAAGCUAGAGUGCAGGAGAGGAAGGUAGAAUUCCCGGUGUAGCGGUGAAAUGCGUAGAGAUCGGGAGGAAUACCAGUGGCGAAGGCGGCCUUCUGGACUGACACUGACACUGAGGUGCGAAAGCGUGGGUAGCAAACAGGAUUAGAUACCCUGGUAGUCCACGCCGUAAACGAUGUCGACCAGCCGUUGGGUGCCUAGCGCACUUUGUGGCGAAGUUAACGCGAUAAGUCGACCGCCUGGGGAGUACGGCCGCAAGGUUAAAACUCAAAUGAAUUGACGGGGGCCCGCACAAGCGGUGGAGCAUGUGGUUUAAUUCGAUGCAACGCGAAGAACCUUACCUACUCUUGACAUCCUGCGAAUUCGGUAGAGAUACCUUAGCGCCUUCGGGAACGCAGAGACAGGUGCUGCAUGGCUGUCGUCAGCUCGUGUUGUGAAAUGUUGGGUUAAGUCCCGUAACGAGCGCAACCCUUGUCCUUAUUUGCCACCCCGUAAUGGCCGGAACUCCUAGGAGACUGCCCGUUGACAAACCGAAGAAAGGUGGAGACAAACGUCAAGUCAUCCAUGUAGCCCUUCCAUAUUAGGGCAUAC